rnacentral:rRNA from 1 species
UACGUAGGGGGCAAGCGUUGUCCGGAUUUAUUGGGCGUAAAGAGCUCGUAGGCGGUUCCGUAAGUCGUGAAGUCAAAUCUCUGGGCUCAACCCAGAAUCGCUUCCGAUACUGCGGUGACUGGAGUCCGGUAGGGGAGUGUGGAAUUCCUGGUGUAGCGGUGAAAUGCGCAGAUAUCAGGAGGAACACCGGUGGCGAAGGCGGGUCUCUGGGCCGAUACUGACGCUGAGGAGCGAAAGCGUGGGGAGCAAACAGG